GACGAACGCUGGCGGCGUGCUUAACACAUGCAAGUCGAGCGGUAAGGCCCUUUCGGGGGUGCACGAGCGGCGAACGGGUGAGUAACACGUGGGUGACCUGCCCUCAGCUCUGGGAUAAGCCUGGGAAACUGGGUCUAAUACCGGAUAUGACUCCAUGACGCAUGUUGUGGGGUGGAAAGCCUUGUGCGGCUGAGGAUGGGCCCGCGGCCUAUCAGCUUGUUGGUGGGGGAUGGCCUACCAAGGCGACGACGGGUAGCCGGCCUGAGAGGGCGACCGGCCACACUGGGACUGAGACACGGCCCAGACUCCUACGGGAGGCAGCAGUGGGGAAUCUUGCGCAAUGGGCGAAAGCCUGACGCAGCGACGCCGCGCGA
rnacentral:rRNA from 1 species